rnacentral:rRNA from 1 species
UACGUAGGGUGCGAGCGUUAAUCGGAAUUACUGGGCGUAAAGCGUGCGCAGGCGGUUUUGCAAGACAGAUGUGAAAUCCCCGGGCUCAACCUGGGAACUGCAUUUGUGACUGCAUGGCUGGAGUGCGGCAGAGGGGGAUGGAAUUCCGCGUGUAGCAGUGAAAUGCGUAGAUAUGCGGAGGAACACCGAUGGCGAAGGAAAUCCCCUGGGCCUGCACUGACGCUCAUGCACGAAAGCGUGGGGAGCAAACAGG